UACGAAGGGGGCUAGCGUUGCUCGGAAUGACUGGGCGUAAAGGGCGCGUAGGCGGUUUGGACAGUCAGAUGUGAAAUUCCUGGGCUCAACCUGGGGGCUGCAUUGAUGACGUUCGGACUAGAGUGGGGAAGAGGGUCGUGGAAUUCCCAGUGUAGAGGUGAAAUUCGUAGAUAUUGGGAAGAACACCGGUGGCGAAGGCGGCGACCUGGUCCUUGACUGACGCUGAGGCGCGAAAGCGUGGGGAGCAAACAGG
rnacentral:rRNA from 1 species